rnacentral:rRNA from 1 species
AUUGAACGCUGGCGGCAGGCCUAACACAUGCAAGUCGAACGGUAGCACAGAGAGCUUGCUCUCGGGUGACGAGUGGCGGACGGGUGAGUAACGUCUGGGAAACUGCCCGAUGGAGGGGGAUAACUACUGGAAACGGUAGCUAAUACCGCAUAACGUCGCAAGACCAAAGUGGGGGACCUUCGGGCCUCACACCAUCGGAUGUGCCCAGAUGGGAUUAGCUAGUAGGUGGGGUAAUGGCUCACCUAGGCGACGAUUCCUAGCUGGUCUGAGAGGAUGACCAGCCACACUGGAACUGAGACACGGGCCAGACUCCUACGGGAGGCAGCAGUGGGGAAUAUUGCACAAUGGGCGCAAGCCUGAUGCAGCCAUGCCGCGUGUAUGAAGAAGGCCUUCGGGUUGUAAAGUACUUUCAGCGGGGAGGAAGGCGGUGAAGUUAAUAGCUUCACCGAUUGACGUUACCCGCAGAAGAAGCACCGGCUAACUCCGUGCCAGCAGCCGCAGUAACAC